rnacentral:rRNA from 1 species
CGGGUGAGUAAUGCGUGACCAACCUGCCCCAUGCUCCAGAAUAGCUCUUGGAAACGGGUGGUAAUGCUGGAUGCUCCAACUUGACGCAUGUCUUGUUGGGAAAGUGUUUAGUGGCAUGGGAUGGGGUCGCGUCCUAUCAGCUUGUAGGCGGGGUAAUGGCCCACCUAGGCUUCGACGGGUAGCCGGCCUGAGAGGGCGGACGGCCACAUUGGGACUGAGAUACGGCCCAGACUCCUACGGGAGGCAGCAGUG